AACGUAGGUGGCAAGCGUUAUCCGGAUUUACUGGGCGUAAAGGGUGUGCAGGCGGGGAUACAAGUGGUGUAUGAAAUCUCCCAGCUUAACUGGGAGCGGUUAUGCCAGACUGUAUUUCUAGAGGACGAGAGGAGGGGGUGGAAUUCCGGGUGUAGUGGUGAAAUGCGUAGAGAUCCGGAGGAACCCCAGAGGCGAAGGCGGCCCCCUGGCUCGUACCUG
rnacentral:rRNA from 1 species